AAUUAUUAAUUGAGAAAAAGUGAUACUUCUAAGCCGAUUUUCGAACAUCGGUCAAUUCCAAACGAAAGAGCAUACUUUUUUCUAUAUAAUGGCAUAUUCUUUAGAGAUUUUUUCUAAAUAGUUAAAAUUUUAUGAAGAAUAUAGACAAAAUUUUAGUAUCGUUCGAUAGCGAAUUUUCACGGUUUUUUCAAUAUUAAAUUGAAAAAAAGUGAGACUUCUAAGCCUAUUUUCGAACAUCGGUCCAUUCCAAACGAAAGAGCAUACUUUUUUCUAUAUAAUGGCAUAUUCUUUAGAGAACUUUUCUAAAGAGUUAAAAUUUUAUGAGGAAUAUAGACAAAAUUUUAGUAUCGUUCGAUAGCGAAUUUUCACGGUUUUUUCAAUAUUAAAUUGAAAAAAAGUGAUACUUCUAAGCCGAAUUUCGAACAUCGGUCAAUUCCAAACCAUUCCAAACGAAAGAGCAUACUUUUUUCUAUAUAAUGGCAUAUUCUUUAGAGAUCUUUUCUAAAUAGUUAAAAUUUUAUGAAGAAUAUAGACAAAAUUU